AGCAGCCGCGGUAAUUCCAGCUCCAAUAGCGUAUAUUAAAGUUGUUGCAGUUAAAAAGCUCGUAGUUGAAUUUCGGGGUUAGUAGAUUGGUCAUGCCUCUGGUAUGCACUGGUCUUACUGAUUCCUCCUUCCUGAUGAACCGUAAUGCCAUUAAUUUGGUGUUGCGGGGAAACUGGACUGUUACUUUGAAAAAUUAGAGUGUUUAAAGCAGGCUAACGCUUGAAUACAUUAGCAUGGAAUAAUGAAAUAGGACGUUCGAUCUUAUUUUGUUGGUUUCUAGGAUUGACGUAAUGAUUAAUAGGGAUAGUUGGGGGCAUUAGUAUUCAAUUGUCAGAGGUGAAAUUCUUGGAUUUAUUGAAGACUAACUACUGCGAAAGCAUUUGCCAAGGAUGUUUUCAUUAAUCAAGAACGAAAGUUAGGGGGAUCGAAGACGAUCAGAUACCGUCGUAGUCUUAACCAUAAACUAUGCCGACUAGGGAUCGGGUGAUGUUAAUUUUUUAAUGACUCAUUCGGCGCCUUA
rnacentral:rRNA from 1 species